UUCAGACUAACUCACUGCUCUUCAGUGCUCCCAUUAUGACUUUGUGGGAGCAACAAGUGUAGUUUUUCCACCAUUCUCUCAGGAACAUUCAUGCCAAUAACUUCUACCUGGAGAGUUAUAUAGCUGACUAAGGAGCAGAAGCCAAAAACAAGGUGUCCAGCAACUCUGGAAGUGGGAUUACACUGAUCAGUGCCAGUUGUUUCAGGGCACAUUUGAGUUUCGUGUCUCACCUGGGAAAUUGAGUAGAGCUGAUACUUCUGAUCUUAUCCCAUACAGUCAUGAAAAUUGCCAGCCUUUCCAUUGUUAUCCUUUGCUGGACCCUCUUGGCAUCUCCAGGAUAUGCCUGUAUGUUUGAUCGUCCAACAACACAAACCGAAUGUAGAAGACAAAAAGGCGAAUGUGUUCAUGGAGCAGAGUGCCCUUCAUCUUUUCCCUCACAGGGAAAUUGUGAAAGGGGUUUAUUAUGUUGUUUCUAAUAAGAUUUCUUAUUUUUUCAUAUCUAUAGAAGUAGAUAAAAUAAUUGUUCAUAGAAUUAUUUGCUACCCCCUCCCACUGGAACAAUGAUUAUUGUUAUGUUUUUGGUAGCACUUCCAUUUUUGAAAUAAAUAAAUAAUAGGGUUGAGCAAAAAUAUCAGAAACCUCAUUAAUUGUAAUAAAAUUGAUAAUUGUAAUACAAUUGAACAGGGUUCAGAAGUGGUUUGGCCCUUCGGAAUUAACCUACCAAUUCAAAGCACUGGAGCCCAUCCUUGGAAUACCUUUCAGAAUACCUUCGGAUAUAUGAGAAAGCAUUUUCAACUAAUCUCCUGCAUCGGGCUUAAGAGCCCCAUAGAAAGCAAGC